CAGUAAGUGAGGACACUUUCUGUUGUGGACUGGUAAAAGGAGGUCAUCAGUUGUUGUUCCACCUUGUUUUUCCACAAGACCUUGAGGAAGUGGAGUCUCUGUUGGGCCUUCCUGGCCAUCUGGAUUGUGUUAUUUGUGUGUGUGUGUGUGUG